AUUGAACGCUAGCGGCAUGCUUUACACAUGCAAGUCGAACGAGUGGCGGCCGGGUGAGUCAUAUAUCGGACCGUGCCCCGUAGCGGGGGAUAACUACUCGAAAGAGUCGCUAAUACCGCAUACUCUUGGAGCGGCCGAUAUCGGAUUAGCUAGUUGGUGGGGUAAAGGCUCACCAAGGCAACGAUCCGUAGCUGGUUUGAUAGGACGACCAGCCACACUGGAACUGAGACACGGCCCAGACUCCUACGGGAGGCAGCAGUGGGGAAUUUUGGACAAUGGGGGAAACCCUGAUCCAGCCAUCCCGCGUGUAUGAGAAGGCCGUCGGGUUGGAAAGGACUUUUGGCAGAGAAGCGGUAUCUGCAGAAUAAGCACCGGCUAACUACGUGCCAGCCGCCGCGGUAAUUC
rnacentral:rRNA from 1 species